AACUUUUCUCCCCUCUUUCUCACUAUUAUUAACCUUGCAUCAAUCCAUUUUUACUUUUUGAAAUGUGAUCUGUUCUAAAAACUUGCCGUCCCGUGAAGUUGAUUGCAACAUGUGCUCGUCUAUAAAUACUUGUUAAAGCAUCAUAUACAUCUACUCGUAUGUUUUCUCAAUGCUUGUUUUUAAGUACUCCACGCGACCCGGUCCCCAGAAGUCUGCAUUAAUUUAUGGUGGAGCAAAUGAGUAAGUGUCCCAUCCAGGUCGAGCGAAUAUUGGUUUGACCCUCCACGCCAACAAGGAAACCGCUCCAUCCUCCCGAGACCAAGGAAAUGGAUGGGGCGAGAGAGAGGUGAGUUUUAAAAGGACGAACGGAUCUCUUAUACAGUUAAAGGGAACAGUCUCUUUCUUCUCGAGAGUGUCGUAUUCAUGGUUAAAAUGGUUCAUAUGCACCGUUUCUCCUUUGUUCAUUCAACGAGAGCCCAACAAAAACCCGCACAAUAAAUAUCCCAUUUAUUUUAUUAUCUUCGGAUUUAUAGGCUUUGGUGGGGAUGACAGGAAGAGGGCAAGAAUUGUACGCCUUUCCUACUCCUUCAUUCGUGAACAGUUGUGGGAGACAGAAGAGUGAAGCAAGUGGUUGGGAAAUCAGGCCAUAACUUUUUGGGUGCACUUUAAGGUUCGCGUUGAAUAUUUCACUUGGAAAUUGCAUGAAAUCCGAGAAGUUCUGCCGCCUCCUUGGGAAAAUGCAUCUUGAUGAAUUCCUCCUAAUUUGGUUACGCAAGACAUGCAAGAAAGCAUCAUUUCAUCAUGCGCAUUUAAAACAACAGGGUUUGAAAUACAUGAACUCGUGGAAAUGGAGAUUCGUAUCUUUUCCUGGAAUGCAUAAGAAUUACGGCAGUGCGAAAUUUUCGUCUUCCGAACCAUUUUUUUUGCACAGAGGUGGUGCUCGACGGAGAUCGUUGUGUCAUGCAUGUAAUUACGAAGCAUUAAUGAUGAAGAGCUUUAAUUUAAUGCGAGAGACCUGGGGCACUACCAAUAAUACCAUCGUCACUCCUGCACCACGGUGUGCACUGUUGCUGUUGAUGGUUCAUUGACCCGAUUGAGGUGGCAUAAACACAAAAUAGUGGAAUACAAUAAAUGAGUAAAGUGUAGUAGUCGUAGUAUCUGUAGUAAUAGGUCCACUUCACCACUUUUUAACUUUAUGACUUCUUUGUACCAACAUUCACCAAGAACUCUGUGCAUGCAUGGGGCUCCAACCGUUGCCACUGCUCCAUCAGGACGCACACCACCAAACGUCUUGGGCUGUCUUCUUUACUGAGGUUGCUGUAGGGCAGAUAUUUUGCUCACCUUAAAUCCGGAUCUUACUGCUCGCAAUUGGUCCAUAAGCAUGCAUCAUCAAUGUGUAAAAAAUGAUUGGAAGGGAAGCCAGAAGCCUGGACAGGUCGUCUCGAAACUGUCUCGAAAACUGUAGUAUUUCGAUGAGUGGAUGCAGACUAGGUCCCGUUUCUAAGAUUCAAUUUGACACGGACGCGGAGUGAAUGACGGUAGUUUUUGGUUUAGAAUUUGAAGGGUCACAGGAGCCAGGAUUUUGAAGUUCCUUGAGAAAACCCGUUACAAAAUCUUGAGAAGAAGAAGAGUUCUCAACUUUCGAAAACUGCAUCUCCAGCAAAGAAUCUUAACUAAAUAUGCAACUCUUCUUUCCACAUGAUCGUCAUCUUCCUGGGAAAAGAGUUUCCCAUUUGGAUAUCGUAUUACAAAACUAUUCAAAUUGAGAAUAUAUGAUCCAUCAGCCAUCCACAUAAGUAGAAUGCAUUGGAAAAUGAGCCAGCAGAAGUAUUUAAUACCGUGAAACAAGGCAGUGAGGAAAAUGGCCAAGCCAAUGAUACCUUCUCAGCACGAGUUCAAAUUUGUCCUCAGCCGAUAAUCUGUACCACUGGCUUGCCCUUCUUCUUCUUCUGCUUGACUCGGACCAGCGAGGAUUGCAGUGCAAAAAAUGUGUGCAAGAAGAAUGCAUCGGAUGCAGUCGUCUCUACAUACAUUGUAGCCCAUGGGAUGCGUAUGCACACUUAACUGCAUGCGCGAUGAUGAUCUUUAAGCAAUGUUUGCCUAAGAUUGUUUGUACGUAUGCGACGAUGGGAUGCAAUGUGCAUGCAAGUUCUUCAUCUUGGAGAUACUGCUGCUUCUUAGCUAUACAUAUGCUGAUCGUGAUGGUUAUGGUAACAAGACGAGUGGCUGCGAUGUCUUACUCCUUACCUUAGAAUGGAAUUACAUUAGAGAAAAGGUCGUUCGUUGACUUUUUGGCCCAGUUUUCCUUUUAUUUAUUUAUCCUCCAAUAAAACCUUCUUCUCUUCCCUUUGUUCUUCUUGUUCUCCUCUUGUUCUCCUCCCAUUCUCCUCCUGGGGUGAGCGCCCAUCUCGGGGUUUGCGGCGGCGUUGAAGCCAAGAGACGAUGCGCUAACAAGGUUUCAAACAUGAGACGAAUAGGUUUUACCUGCCAGAUUCGUGUCAUGGCUUCUCCUCCAGAAGAACUCUUCCAGGAGUGUCAAACACACUAUUUAACACUUUAGUACCAGAAGCAUAGCGAAGAGUGAGGAUCUUUCAACUUAAAUUGGCUGCUGUUUACUCUAUGCAAGCAAUUGUCCUAAAUGUGUCCUUUCACAAUGAGAUGUGAGGCGACGAAGUGAGGAGAGUCAUUGCCCCUUGGAGUGCACCUGCUAUAUCAACAUGCAGCAAAGUUGCCUCAUCUGUAUAUCUCAUCAUCUCCGCUGCUAUAGGCAAUGGUGCUCCUUUGACAAGUUGGUGGUUUUGUGGGUUAUGAUGUUAGCAAGAUCAUGAUGCGAUCAUGAUGCAUCCGGUCUGAAACUGGAAUUAUAUCUCAACAACUCCUGACUGGUUUAAGGGCACGUUCCCACUCUCGGCCGGACUGGGUGGCGUUGUUGGUGCCGAGUGAGUACAAUAAUAUUUUAGUGGUGACACGGCUUUUCUUGUCUUCAAAGGAAGAUGCAAAACAAAAGUGAAACAGUGGGAAAUAAUGGGCACAUUGACCGACGAGAUGCAACAAGUCACCUCUUGCUUGCCCUAAAAAACGGAAGCGUAAGGAUUUACUAGAAAAAGUGACAAAACAUGCAUCUUAUUGGUCGUCUACCACCAUAGCUAAAAAUAAAAUACGCCUGCUAAACCCAUGAAAACAAGAAAUCCAAAAUUUUGAUAUGCUUCAAAUUAAAUGAAAAUAAAAGUGAAAC